UACGAAGGGGGCUAGCGUUGUUCGGAUUUACUGGGCGUAAAGCGCACGUAGGCGGAUUGUUAAGUCAGGGGUGAAAUCCUGGAGCUCAACUCCAGAACUGCCUUUGAUACUGGCAAUCUAGAGUCCGGAAGAGGUGAGUGGAACUCCUAGUGUAGAGGUGGAGUUCGUAGAUAUUAGGAAGAACACCAGUGGCGAAGGCGGCUCACUGGUCCGGUACUGACGCUGAGGUGCGAAAGCGUGGGGAGCAAACAGG
rnacentral:rRNA from 1 species